rnacentral:rRNA from 1 species
UACGGGGGGGGCAAGCGUUGUUCGGAAUUACUGGGCGUAAAGGGCUCGUAGGCGGCCAACUAAGUCCGACGUGAAAUCCCAAGGCUUAACCUUGGAACUGCGUCGGAUACUGGAUGGCUUGAAUUCGGGAGAGGGAUGCAGAAUUCCAGGUGUAGCGGUGAAAUGCGUAGAUAUCUGGAGGAAUACCGGUGGCGAAGGCGGCCUUCUGGACCAUUCCUGACACUGAGACGCGAAAGCGUGGGUAGCAAACAGG